AGCUUUGUGCAGUGGCAGUAUUGUAGCUAAUGAGUCUAUCUAAAGCACAAUCAUUGCUAACUGUAAACUCUUCUCAAAGAAAGGUAAAUGUAAAACACUUAAAUAAUUUAACUGAAAUGUGUUAAUCCUAGGUAAGA
rfam:Cavia porcellus supercont2_14 genomic scaffold, whole genome shotgun sequence.